rnacentral:tRNA from 2 species
AAAUAAGAAACAAAAAUUUGUAUUUAGUUUCGACCUAAAAUUUUGAUGUUUAUUCAUCCUUAUUUU